GUUGCUGCUGCAGCAAGUCUAACUGAGAUAACCAAAUCAUAUCCAAGAGUUAAGGCAUUUGAAAUACUAAGUUGACAUCUUACAGAAAUGAAAGACACGAUAAACACUAGUUAAUCUUGUAACUAAUGCAGUCAACAAAUUUAGGGCUUGGAUUACUGCCUUCACACAUAAUAAAAAUGUUGAAUAUGCAUGCAUGGUAGCCUAGUUCAGUUGCUGUGUUCUGAUUAAUUUGAUAAAAUGAUGCUCGAUAAUCUUUCUUUCAAUCUUCAAAAUCUCAACAUAAGUUUUCACAAAAGGAAGUUGACCUUUGAUUCCCUGCAUUUGAAGCUAGGCCAUCAUUGUCUAUAUUUUUCUUCCUACUAAAUAACUGUAACCAAAAAUUCCCUGAUAAUGUGAAGCAUCAGAUGGCAACAUGGAGAAAAUUAAAUAUAAAUAUUUAUCCUAAGAAUGUAAUAAAAGUCUUUAUUUUGAAAUUUCUUCCCAAUACAUCCUAACCUUUAGCCUUUCCAGGACCAUUUGCACUUCCAGAGACACCCUAGAGAAGAAGAAGGAUUAAGUGAUCCAAUCUUUAGAAUCAUAACAUAUCAUUUAGCACUUGUCUGUGUCUGUUGCUAGACAACUUGUGUGAUUUUGAAGCAUUAAGUUACAAAUUCAAAAAACUAAAAUAAAUGGACGUUCAAAAUCAUAUUCUUCAAUUGCUUAAGUAUAAAAUAGACCAUAAUAUACACAAAAUUGAAACUGUA
rnacentral:misc_RNA from 1 species